rnacentral:misc_RNA from 1 species
AACGCACCUUGCGCUCCUUGGUAUUCCGAGGAGCAUGCCUGUUUGAGUGUCAUUAAAUUCUCAACUUCAUCAGUUUUGUUAUGAAAUUGUGUGAAGCUUGGAUAUGGGGGUUUGCAGAAUGUGCAAUACAUUGUCCUGCUCCUCUUAAAUAAAUUAGCAAGUUUAAACUAGGCUCCAUCUAUUGGUGUGAUAAUUAUCUACGCCGUGGAUUGGGCUUAGACUUGCUUCUAACAGUCUGAAAAGACAACCUUUUUGACAAUUUGACCUCAAAUCAGGUAGGACUACCCGCUGAACUUAA